CUUCUUUUUGUUUAUAUGUUACUUCCAUUUUUUCGGACUGAAAAUAAAUCUUGUUAUGACAGCAUAGAAAACGGAAAAAUUACGAAAUGCUGUGUAGAUUACUACUUAGUAAACAAUACUUGUAAAGUGUGCCCUUCUGGAUGCUCUGAGUGUAAUUGCUUUCAACCUUGUGUGGGAUUGACGUAUAGAAUUGGAUGUAAUGCUGCCUGUUCUUGUCCAGA